AGGGUGUGCAGAUUGCAGGGCCCCGGCUGACGGGAAGGGGUGGGAACUCCCUGCACACGCGGUGCCGCGGGGCGGAGGGAGGGGACACGGGCUCAUUGCGGUGUGCGCCCUGCACUCUGUCCCUCACUCGCCGCCGACGACCUGUCUCGCCGCGCGCACGCCCUGCCGCCGCCCCGCAGAAAUGCUUCGGUUACCCACAGUCUUUCGCCAGAUGAGACCGGUGUCCAGGGUACUGGCUCCUCAUCUCACUCGGGCUUAUGCCAAAGAUGUAAAAUUUGGUGCAGAUGCCCGAGCCUUAAUGCUUCAAGGUGUAGACCUUUUAGCCGAUGCUGUGGCCGUUACAAUGGGGCCAAAGGGAAGAACAGUGAUUAUUGAGCAGAGUUGGGGAAGUCCCAAAGUAACAAAAGAUGGUGUGACUGUUGCAAAGUCAAUUGACUUAAAGGAUAAAUAUAAAAACAUUGGAGCUAAACUUGUUCAAGAUGUUGCCAAUAACACAAAUGAAGAAGCUGGGGAUGGCACUACCACUGCUACCGUACUGGCACGCUCUAUAGCCAAGGAAGGCUUCGAGAAGAUUAGCAAAGGUGCUAAUCCAGUGGAAAUCAGGAGAGGUGUGAUGUUAGCUGUUGAUGCUGUAAUUGCUGAACUUAAAAAGCAGUCUAAACCUGUGACCACCCCUGAAGAAAUUGCACAGGUUGCUACGAUUUCUGCAAACGGAGACAAAGAAAUUGGCAAUAUCAUCUCUGAUGCAAUGAAAAAAGUUGGAAGAAAGGGUGUCAUCACAGUAAAGGAUGGAAAAACACUGAAUGAUGAAUUAGAAAUUAUCGAAGGCAUGAAGUUUGAUCGAGGCUAUAUUUCUCCAUACUUUAUUAAUACAUCAAAAGGUCAGAAAUGUGAAUUCCAGGAUGCCUAUGUUCUGUUGAGUGAAAAGAAAAUCUCUAGUGUCCAGUCCAUUGUACCUGCUCUUGAAAUUGCCAAUGCUCACCGUAAGCCUUUGGUCAUAAUCGCUGAAGAUGUUGAUGGAGAAGCUCUAAGUACACUCGUCUUGAAUAGGCUAAAGGUUGGUCUUCAGGUUGUGGCAGUCAAGGCUCCAGGCUUUGGUGACAAUAGAAAGAACCAGCUUAAAGAUAUGGCUAUUGCUACUGGUGGUGCAGUGUUUGGAGAAGAGGGGUUGACCCUGAAUCUUGAAGACGUUCAGCCUCAUGACUUAGGAAAAGUUGGAGAGGUCAUUGUGACCAAAGACGACGCCAUGCUCUUAAAAGGAAAAGGUGACAAGGCUCAAAUUGAAAAACGUAUUCAAGAAAUCAUUGAGCAGUUAGAUGUCACCACUAGUGAAUAUGAAAAGGAAAAACUGAAUGAACGGCUUGCAAAACUUUCAGAUGGAGUAGCUGUGCUGAAGGUUGGUGGGACAAGUGAUGUUGAAGUGAAUGAAAAGAAAGACAGAGUUACAGAUGCCCUUAAUGCUACAAGAGCUGCUGUUGAAGAAGGCAUUGUUUUGGGAGGGGGUUGCGCCCUGCUUCGAUGCAUUCCAGCCUUGGACUCAUUGACUCCAGCUAAUGAAGAUCAAAAAAUUGGUAUAGAAAUUAUUAAAAGAACACUCAAAAUUCCAGCAAUGACCAUUGCUAAGAAUGCAGGUGUUGAAGGAUCUUUGAUAGUUGAGAAAAUUAUGCAAAGUUCCUCAGAAGUUGGUUAUGAUGCUAUGGUUGGAGAUUUUGUGAAUAUGGUGGAAAAAGGAAUUAUUGACCCAACAAAGGUAAAUGGUUGAACACUUUCUAAAAAUUCUUUUGUUGGUCAUUUUGUUAAUGUAUCCCCACAUCCCAAAUCUUUGAUUUUGUCACCAGAAAAAUAGUCUAAUAGCAGUAGCAACAGCAAUAGCACUUGUGCUCAUCAACAAUUCUCAUGUACAUUUCCAGCACCUAGAUAUUUAAUACUCCACUAAAAGGAAGCAGGAUCCCUUGAGUAGCAGUUGAGUCCAUGCUUGGAGGCAGGAAAAAAUCAGGAUGGAUCUGGAACACCCUGUUCCUGCCUGGCAGUAAGAAUACUUUCCAAGAUACCCAGAAUAGGGUUUUGUUUUGUUUUUAAGACAGAGUCGCUCUGUCGCCCAGGCUGGAGUGCAGGCAGUGACAACUUCCACCUCCUGGGUUCAAGCGAUUCUCCUGCCUCAGCCUCCCGAGUAGCUGGGAUUACAGGCAUGCACCACCAUGCCUGGCUAAUUUUUGUAUUUUUAGUAGAGAUGGGGUCUCACCAUGUUGGCCAGGCUGGUCUCGAACUCCUAACCUCAAGUCGUCUACCUGCCUCGGCCUCCCAAAGUGCUGGGAUUACAGGUGUGAGCCACCACGCCCAGACAGAAAUUUUCAACUGAACUACAUUCCAUUGAUAAUGGGGAAGGACAGUUUCUGUUUUCCCCAGUGCAAGGAUGUAAUCUCUUGGAGCUGUAAAAUCUGGGAGGUUGGAAGGAACUCCAGCUCCUCAGCAUGGCCUUUGGGCUGCUGCUGCAAGCAAGGCAUUGAGGCAAAUAUUUCUGCUGUCCUUGGACAGAAGUAGAGGGGAAAAAUAAAGUCCAUCAUCACAUGAAAAGUCA